rnacentral:tRNA from 1 species
GGAGGGGUGGCAGAGCGGUUGAAUGCGGCGGUCUCGAAAACCGUUUCGGGGGGUUCACCUCCGACGAGGGUUCGAAUCCCUCCCCCUCCG